UACGUAGGGUGCGAGCGUUAAUCGGAAUUACUGGGCGUAAAGCGUGCGCAGGCGGUUUGCUAAGACCGAUGUGAAAUCCCCGGGCUCAACCUGGGAACUGCAUUGGUGACUGGCAGGCUAGAGUAUGGCAGAGGGAGGUGGAAUUCCACGUGUAGCGGUGAAAUGCGUAGAGAUGUGGAGGAACACCGAUGGCGAAGGCAGCCUCCUGGGCCAACACUGACGCUCAUGCACGAAAGCGUGGGGAGCAAACAGG
rnacentral:rRNA from 1 species